AAAACUCAGCUUUGGGGAUCAUUUCUGUAGUUCACUACUAGAGAAGUUUCUCUGAUCUAGUAGAGAACCUAAAACCAUGAGGAGCCAGAACCUCCUUUCCUGAGCAUAAGGUCCAUUCUAGGUGUUGCCUUUGCAGCUGCCUUUUACCAUUGAUGAUCCUUCUUCUCUGCCCUUGGAAGAGUGAGAGGGAGAGGACACAGUCAAGCAUGAUGGC